AGUUAAUUGGCUUGUUACGUUGGAUCCAUAAUGCCACUUGGGGAUCAUGCCCAAUGCAAAGUAGAUAAAUACCUUCGUUGUGGUGAGAUAGUACAGCCUAGAUCGAAGAGGCAGCUAGGGAGACAAAGAAAUGCUAGGCGAAGAACAAGGGUUAAGCUUUCCAACCCUAUAAAGGGUGGAAGGUGUGGCAGUUCGAAACACCAAUAGGAGAACAUGUAAACAACCAAAAGCUUUAAGCUAUGUGGGGAAGCAUAAACGGGGUUCUGAAAAAUAGGUGUAGUAGAUAUCGUUUGUGAUUUACUUUUCAAUUGAAGACAUUGUUGUACUGAUUGCAUGUGCAGUACAUCGCAACUAAAUAAAUUGAUACUAAAAUUGUCUUUCCAUCGGCAAAGUUUGAAGUUUUUUUCAUUUUGUGUAAUUUACCCAUUUGUGUGAUGAUUUGCUAUGUGUAGAGUGACAAAUCCAAGGUAAAAAGACGUUUGAUAAUUCUCUGGCCAACGAUGAAAUUGUCAUGUGCCAAUAGCACUGAUCAAAUUUGGCUGACACCUAGGCUGACCGACCCUCACAUUGUGCAUGAGUUCCGCGUGAAUUAAAAAAUGUCCGACCCCCAAGGUGUAUGUGUUCGGUCAUCUCCUAAGUCAACCAUUAUGUUCGUGUAGCUUAAUCCAUAUUUAUUACUACAUCCAUCUUUGUUUGGCUCGAUGUUAUGAAUUUUGUUGAAACCUUUGGUACAUCACACCUACAUUUGUUAAUACAAGGGAUGAAUGUCCCACUUCGAGGCUGGACCUAUUAGGGUACAUUUUUUGUACUUGGUAUGUUG
rnacentral:lncRNA from 1 species